rnacentral:lncRNA from 10 species
ACAUGGUGGUUGGCAAGAACAAGUACCUUACGAAAGACAGCAAAAAGGGAGCCAAGAAGUGGCUGAUCCAUUUUCUAAGAAAGAUUGGUACGAUGUGAAAGCAUGCUAUGUUCAGUAGAAGAAAUACUGGAAAGACACUGGUCACCAGGACCCAGGGAACCAAAAUUGCACCUGGUAGUCUGAAGGGUCGUGUGUUUGAAGUGAGUCUUGCUGAUUUGCAGAAUGAUGAAGUUGCAUUUAGAAAAUUCAAGCUGAUUACUGAAGAUGUUCAAGGCAAAAACUACCUAACUUCCAAGGCAUGGAUCU